AUUGAACGCUGGCGGCAGGCCUAACACAUGCAAGUCGAGCGGAUGAAGGGAGCUUGCUCCUGGAUUCAGCGGCGGACGGGUGAGUAAUGCCUAGGAAUCUGCCUGGUAGUGGGGGAUAACGUCCGGAAACGGGCGCUAAUACCGCAUACGUCCUGAGGGAGAAAGUGGGGGAUCUUCGGACCUCACGCUAUCAGAUGAGCCUAGGUCGGAUUAGCUAGUUGGUGGGGUAAAGGCCUACCAAGGCGACGAUCCGUAACUGGUCUGAGAGGAUGAUCAGUCAAACUGGAACUGAGAAACGGUCCAGACUCCUACGGGAGGCAGCAGUGGGGAAUAUUGGACAAUGGGCGAAAGCCUGAUCCAGCCAUGCCGCGUGUGUGAAGAAGGUCUUCGGAUUGUAAAGCACUUUAAGUUGGGAGGAAGGGCAGUAAGUUAAUACCUUGCUGUUUUGACGUUACCAACAGAAUAAGCACCGGCUAACUUCGUG
rnacentral:rRNA from 1 species